UGCUGUUUUUGUCUAUACGGUAUAUUCAAUCAACUUUUAAUGUCAUAUUUUCUUAAAUGACAUGGAUCAUACUUAGUAACCCAAGGAAAUUGUGAUACAAAUUCCUAUGACUAAAAAUAAUUGUUACUGUAGCUUAAAUGUGUACCAACAACAAUCAGUUCAGUCCCUCUAUCAGGAGUGGUUAUUUGAGCUUUUCACUCAUCUAAGAUAAGGAGAAGCCAGUUUGAUUACCCAAUCAACUUAAAACUUACUAAGAAUGAUGCUCAGGGUUUUAAAUAAUGGAAUCGGAUUGAAUUGUUCUAAAACGAAUUAAAUUCACUUGCCUAUUCCAUUAGCUUUUUUUUAACUUUUAGCAUACAGGGUUUUAAAUAACGGAAUCACAAAUGAUUUCGGAAUCAGUCGGUCUGAAAAAGCUGAUAUUUAAAAGGCCUAAUGACACCAAAAAGCCAAACCUUUCCGUGAAUUUGCAAUUUGAUCCAAAUCUUUUAUUUUUGGCAAUUGAGGCCCAUUUCUGAAAUUGAUUGCAAGUUUAUCUAACUCACUAAAUUGAUCAAAAUUGAAAUUAAA
rnacentral:misc_RNA from 1 species